rnacentral:rRNA from 1 species
UACGGGGGGAGCAAGCGUUGUUCGGAUUUACUGGGCGUAAAGGGCGCGUAGGCGGUCGUGACAAGUCACUUGUGAAAUCUCCGGGCUUAACUCGGAACGGUCAAGUGAUACUGUCGGACUAGAGUACAGAAGGGGCAACUGGAAUUCUCGGUGUAGCGGUGAAAUUCGUAGAUAUCGAGAGGAACACCGGUGGCGAAGGCGGCCUUCUGGACAGUGACUGACGCUGGAGACGCGAAAGCGUGGGGAGCAAACAGG